rnacentral:lncRNA from 1 species
UCUCGUCGCGUGAACAUUCUUUCGUUACGGGUUUCUCGAAAACACUCGUGCCACGUGCUUCUUCGUGCCGCGUUACUUUCACUCGACCGGUUCCUGUUCGCGUGAAACGAGUUCCCGCUCGAUUUUACCUUGCCGAAAAUUGUGAACAGGUGCAUACACCAGUCGCCCAAGUCGCGUGCGAGGAUCGGGGGAAAAUCGCCUCGAAGACGGAAAAUUUGGCGAACAUCCGUGAAAACUGAGUGACGGGAGGUGGAAGAUCAAAGAGGAUCGAGGAUCGACCGAGGCUUGCUUCAUAGAGGGAUCUACGCGACUAGCCACGUGGUUGCUGCGCAAACAGAUCGGAUGGAACGAGAGUGGAAAAAAUAGUAAUUGCGGAGUGGAGAUGAUUCCCUACUAACAGAGUGUGGAGAUUAACCGAGUGUUGAAGUGAGAGCCGCAUUAACGUGUUAUUAACGUGAUGUAACGAACACAGCGAGAGUAAUCAUGGAGAAGGUCUGCUGGUCGACCUGGAGUAAUCCGAGAGCCACGAAGGACCGCGGCGCGGAGGAAUCGAAAGGCUGACGGUAUCCAGAAACACGUUCGAUAUAUAACAGAAGCCGCGAGAGAAGCAACGAGCCUGUCAGCCACGUAGAGAAGCAGACCAAGACGUCGGUACUCGCGACACCUCGCACGAAUUUCGCCAUUCCCGCCCGACAUUCCAAGCUUCCGUCGCGUCUGGGGAUCGAGGGGAACUCUGGACGAGAGGACAUGUCCCGGAAGUGGCUGCACAGAGGAGACGACACGUGCAAGCCGCCGGACAUUCGAAGACAGCGG